AUCCAGGACAUCUGAGAAAUAUGAAAUUACAUUGCUGCCGAAAAGCUCCAGGACGAAUGUGGAUACGCUGCCAUUUAUUCCAAUGAGGAUGUUAACGCUGGUCAAAACCACAUACGCUGUACUGGGAAUCUUAAAGAAGAAUGAUGCUGGAGCAGCAGAAGGAGGGCGAGAACAGGAAGAUUGGUGGAGGACACAUAGGCCUCUUGCUGGAAACAGACGAAGAUGAUGAUGACCAGGGUCGCUGGGACAAUGUAGUUGCACUGAAGGACAAACAUGCAAUCAGUCAAAGGGUAUUUGAACAGAUGUUGAUACGUUUGUAAUAAAAACACUUGACUUGAUCCUCACCAUGUCCCACACAAAGUUGGCCAGCCAGUAGAGGAAGGGCUGCACUCCGCUGAUGAACUGCAUGUGUUUGGCUUUAUUCACUCUCUCCUGGAUGAGGAACACCACAAAGCUUGCCGGUACGAAAGACAUGGCGAAGAUGACGCAGAUGGACACCAGCACGUCGACUGAGGUCGUCAUUCUGGGAAGCAGAUGGGGUCAAAGGUCAGAGAUGUCAAGACUGUGUGUGUAAAUGGAGUGGAGCAUGAGCUGCGCUCCGGGUUACUUACAGCGCCACCUGUGAGAGCUGCUCUUUGGUGAGGUUGAGCGGAUGGUUAAAUGCUUUGAUGCUGAAUUUGGACUGAUCCAGGCCGGGGGGAAGAUUAGCACGCAGGACGGCAUUGUUCAUGACAUUGAGGAAGGCUCCCAUACUGUGCCAGCCCUUGUUAUUGAACCAGAUCUGCAAAAGCACACAAUCGUGUCACUCUUCUCACUCUUAUAAACCAACAAAAGCCCUUACAGCUGCUUGACAUUGUGCUAUCAGCCAUGUUUAUGAGGCAUAAUAAUAGACUGUCCAUCUACAAAAAUAGAUUCACUUUGGUCUCAACUGACAGUGUUUCAUUGUGUCUCUAACAGCCUCCACCACUAUAAAGGACAUUAAGACCUGUGAAUAAAUGUAUUUUCUUUUUGCAAUUUUA